UUGAUCGGAGCAUAAUUAUGCGAUAAUAAUGUUGGUUUGCCAAAGCAAGGAAAGAAAUAUGAGCAAAAGGAAGGAGAUAUGUGCAAAUAAUGGAGAAGUGUGGAAUCUUGAUGAGUCAAGGAAGCAUACGGCAACAUGAAGAAAAAGAUAUUCAACAAUUAAUUCUCUUGGCUGCUCUUAUUGGAUAGAAGGAUGUCAUUGAAUCCAAAAUCAAUCAGAACAUUAAUAAAGGAGCCUUCCGUGGAAGCCAAGGAAUUAGAGUCCCAAAAGGAAAGAAGAAAAGAGUUACAAACUGAAUAAAAUCUCUCCUUGGACGUUCAAGAAACCUACCAUCACACAUACGGAAGAGGAGAGACGCACAAGAGCUGGAAAAGAAGAAGAAUUACAACCAUCACCGAAAACGAUCGAUCGCUGCCUGCCGACGAUCGAUCGCCAAUCAGCUUUUUCCUAUUUCUUGGUGUAUGCUUACUCGUAGAACUGCUCAAGGCAAUCUUACCCCCUUGGAUUCAGAGAUAGAACGCACUUGCAAGUCGAAUAGGAAGCAAACGAAGGGAACUAGUUUGCCAAUUCACGACACAACGGCGGGUUCUACUUCUUCACAAGGGGAGGAGGACGAGAAAACACCACCAAACUCACCUGCACAUUCAACUCACGAGGACAAAGAGGAACCCCCAAGACGCGACAUGGCACUGAAGGAUGCUUUUGUUCCUACAGCUUCGGAAUCCCCCUCAUGCAUAGCUUACACACCACCGGGCAAUCAAGCCUUCUCCAUUCCUGUGCAGCUCCUGAACUCACUGCCUAA